UCCUCGAUAGCUCAACGGUAGAGCGUCCGGCUGUUAACCGGCAGGUUCCAAGUUCGAAUCUUGGUCGAGGAGCCC
rnacentral:tRNA from 1 species